rnacentral:rRNA from 1 species
GACAGAGGGUGCAAACGUUGCUCGGAAUUACUGGGCGUAAAGCGCGUGUAGGCGGGCCCCCAAGUCGGACGUGAAAGCCCUGAGCUCAACUCAGGAACUGCAUCCGAAACUGAGGGCCUGGAGUAGUGGAGAGGGAAGCAGAAUUCCUGGUGUAGAGGUGAAAUUCGUAGAUAUCAGAAGGAACGCCGGUGGCGAAAGCGACUCUCUGGCUCGUAUCUGACGCUGAGGCGCGAAAGCUUGGGUAGCAAACGGG